GCUGGGGUGGCUGGGGUGGGGAGUUCUUUCUGGACACUUGGAGCCCCUUGGGGGUUCUUUUGGUGCGUUGGGUGGAGGAGGGUGAGUCUGAGCGUCGGAAAGAGGAUGGAGAGCCCAGGGUGCGCCCCACCUCUGGUAGCGUAAAUGCGCUGAUCUCGUGGGGUUGACCCCCUACCCUUCGCCGAGCGUCUCCCGGGAGGACGGGAAACUGACAGAAACUCGAUGCCAAAGUGGAUGGUUCGCAUUGAUUGGCAGGGAAAGUGCAAACAAAGAGGCCCCACGCAAGUGUCCGAGCGCCUCGCGGGCUGCACAGCGGGGAGGGUCCCUCCCGAGGGCGACGAGGCGGGGGCGGAGGUGAGCGGGGACCGAGGUCUGGGUUCCCUCUCCCCCCGGCGCUCCGGGCUCCCCGCCCUUCGGGGGACGGAGGCGUAGUCCGGUGGCGAAGUUUGGCUGGUGCAAUUAUUAUUAUCAGCAUCUAGAAAGCAUCACACGGAGCAUUGACCUUCAUGCUGCAUUGUUCUUACUGGAUCCUCCUAUCCGUGAACAUUAUGCCAAGUACCAAUACAGCAUCAAGUCAUUUCUGGAUGGAAAGUUUUCAAACUUCUUCAUUUGGAGUUACUUAAACGUGAGGGUGUUGGGAUUUUUGAGGAUGCCUUCCCUAUGUGGAUUAUUACAGUUUGAUGACUGAUUCUCUGCCUCAAAGAAGAUUAUUUUGCUAUCUGGAAACUCAUGCCCACCUCUUUGACUUCGGGUCAAAAUUGCUUUCCUCACAGUCUGACUGGGAAAGUUGUAAAACAUUAGAAUGUCCUUCAGCGGUGGGCUGUGGAAUGUCAUUACUCUCAGGUGACUACGGAAGCAUUAGCACCCUGCAUGCUCAGGUGGCCCCCACUCCUACGGACACAGCUCUUUCACCUAUACGGUUUUCUUCUGUAUUUCCUGAUAUAAGUCUCCCCCUGACCCCACUGGAAUGCAUGGAUUUGCAUUUGUUCUUCCAGGAGUGUCUAACUGGAUGUCCUCUGCAAAUUCAUCAAAUGUGCCAUCUUUUCCAUCAUGUGGUCAUCCCUGGGAUCAUCAUCGAACAUCGUUCUCCACCACUCUGGUCCAUGGAUGGUUGUUCUCUUUUGUCCAUUCCAUCAAAUGUCCUGAACACUGUCAGAAGAGGGAAAAGGCUAAUGAUGCCAGGGUGUUGGAAGCCUGUCAUCUUAUCUGAGCACCUGCCAUGCCCAGCACAGUGCUUCAAGACCGACUUUCCGACAGACCGCCAGCUCUCAACUUCAACUGGGCAUGAAGGUCCCACUUAUGAGUAG
rnacentral:lncRNA from 1 species